UCUAGUUUAAACCUCAUAUUGCUAGAAGACUAAUAGAUAUGUUCUCUAAAUUUAAAGGAUUUGGCGGCAACUUAGUCCAGUUAGAGGAACCUGUCUCUUAAACGAUACACCACGCAAAAUCUUACCUAUUUUUAGCUUGUAUACCGUCAUUAUUUAGAUAACCCUAAAAAGGAAAGUUAUUGAAAUAAGAAUUUUUAAUAUAUUAGAUCAAGGUGCAGCGUAUAAAUAGGGACAAUAUGGGUUACAAUGAGUCUUACUUAUACGAAUAUAACCAUUAAACAUUUAUUGAAGGAGGAUUUAAUAGUAAAAUUAGUUUAAUAAGCUAAUUUGGUAGAGGAUCUAAGAUGUGUACAUAUCGCCCGUCACUUUCAUACUCAAAUGAAAUAAGUCGUAACAUAG
rnacentral:rRNA from 1 species